AAGAUAUAAUUAUAGAUUCUAGACUAGUUAUAUAUGUACAUAAAAUAUAUAAAUAAAAGAUAAAAUUUAUGCAGGCCUAGAUCCCAUAAAUUUAUAAUUGAUCCAGAUCUAUCAGUAAAAGUUACCUUCGACGGGAAGUUUUACCCAAUUUAAUCUAUACAAGACAAUUUAUAAUCCAUGCCUCGCCUACACCCCAUACAUUAAAUAAUAGUUUCCAUGCCAUGCCCAGACCCAUGAGUUCAUGAAAUAAUAAAUGAUGUGGUGUCAAUUAUGGAUCUAUCCCCUGAAAUUUAGGACUUUAAUAUAAAACUCACAUAUCUAGUUAAUUAUUUGCUAUGACACUCUGAUCAACUUUGACUUGUGUGAUACAUAUAUGUUUCUUAUCAGAUUUAAUGAAUGAAGUUUUGGUGCAUUUUAAGGCUACAAAAGUAUCAUCAGGUGUAUUCUAACCAUUGGUAUUUUUCCUCGCAACAUUUCUUUUCUAGUCUGUGAUAAAUUAUAAAUUUAAAAAAAUGUUUGUAAUGUUUCAGUUAUUAACAAGUAGAACCAUGCCAACCAGUUCUGAUGAUGUACCAGAAUGGCUCAAGGAUCAUACUUAUACUAUUUCUACUCUCUGGGCAGACAUUAAUAAUAUUGGCAUCCAUUCAAUAUUUAUUUUAUGUUUGGAAAUGGAAGAAAAAGGCAUGCAUUCCUGACAAGUCAAUGAUUGGUUGCACCUCUAAAGAUAACUUUCUGUUAUGAGAAAAGAUGAGAUUCUUGGACUCCUGCAUAGCACCACCAGAAAGGAAAAUCCCAUCAUGUUGCAAAAUAAAAGUCUUGGACCAAUUUUAAUUUAAGAUAUAUAUAUUAUACUGUAAGCUCUAUACAUAUUUAUGUGUAUCCUGUCAUUCAGCCAACAGGUUUGGAUUUAGUAUUUCUUUAAAUCUGUUUGAUAUUGUACUUGAAAACUAUUAAUCUGAGCCCCAUUAAAACAAUAGGGAGUGCAGUGAAUGAGUGGUAAAGCACUUGGCUUCUGAACUGAGGGUUCCUGGGUUCGAUUAAGACUGGGAUUUUCAAUUUCAGAAUUCAAAAGGCUAGGGAUACAUGGCAAUAGUAAGGAAUAAGUAAAGGCAGUUUGGGGAUCCAUGGCUGAAUGGUUAAGUCAUGGGUUUGAAUCUCUGUGAAGACUCAGAUUAAAAUUUUGUUUAGAUUUUUGGGUGCCCCUGAGUCCACAUAACUCUAAUGGGUAGCUGACUUUCGUUUUGGAAAGUAAAGAUGGUUGGUUGUUGUGCUGGCCACAUGAUGCACUGGCCAAAGAAUCAAAUGACCCUAUAGAUUGUGACGUCUGAAAUGGGAUUUUUUUUCAAAAGGUGGUUGGUUGUUGUGCUGGGUACAUGACACCCUCAUAAACCAUGGGGCACAGAAACUGAUAAACUUUAUAUCAUCUGCCCCAUAGAUUGCAAGAUAUGUAAGGGAAAUUUUACUUUUUUAAAAUUAAAAUAAGAAUCUAUCAAAAGUAAACAUAAAAUAUGGUGCAUUCUCCUUAAAACUAAAACCUGGUGCGAAGGUUUAAAAUGUUGGCAAAAAAAAGCAACAUCAUAUAUUCUUAAUUCCCUUUGCAAAACUUACUGAGAAGAAUAUGCAUGUUGUUCCCUCAUAAGUUUCUUGACAGAGGAAAUCUUGUUUAUAUUAGAUUUGAAUUAAGCAAAUUAAGAAAAAAAUUAUAAUCAUUAUUUCAAAUGGUUGUAUCUAAACCUUUUAUGAAUUAUUUUGCAGUCAUAAGUAUAUUGAGAUUAAUGGAUAAUCAUGAAAUUGUUAAAUAAUUGCUGCUAUCAUUCCAUUGACUAAAGAACCAUAAUUUUUUUUUUUUAAAUUAAUUUCAAAAUGAUUAUUUUCAAGCAUAGAGUUCACAUAGAUCUUGAGUGAAUUUUUUUUUUUUAUUUGACUAAUGCUUCAAUUUUAUUGUAUCAUAUUAGUUGUUAAUUUUUAUUACCCAGAAUAAUGCCUGUACUUCAGA